rnacentral:lncRNA from 1 species
CAACAGAUCUCAAAUGUUUAUAACUUACAGGAAGAAUACCACGGGUCCAGAAGUCUCCUCCCAGUUUGAGGAGGAAGGAAAAAAACAGCUUGGAUCUGUCAUUUGCCACUUGCCACCAUGACGUCAGCUCGGGGCUGAACUCCCUACCUGUGGCAGGGACCUUAAAUGAGCUGACGCUGGAAAAGAAAAGCACUUCAUCUCAGGUUUAGCGAGGAGUAGCAGCAGCAGCAGAGGCAGCAAUGGGACGCUCUAUGUUCUUCACUGUGCUGCUUUGCUUGGUGUUGAGCCUUUCAGAAGCUACCACACCUGCAACAACUGGGAACAGUACUACCACCAUUACUGUACUAACAACAGAAGGUAAGGAUGGGAAAGCCCACUGGCAGAGCUUUAGGAGGGGAUGACUCAGUCUCAGGUGCUCCAGAACCCACACAUCCUUACUCAUAUACAAUGGUUCCUAAAGACGUCUCAUAAAUGCAAUACAAAGUAAU